rnacentral:miRNA from 1 species
AAAAAGAUGCAGGACUAGACC